rnacentral:rRNA from 1 species
UACGUAGGGGGCGAGCGUUAUCCGGAAUUAUUGGGCGUAAAGGGCUCGUAGGCGGUUUGUCGCGUCGGGAGUGAAAACACGGGGCUUAACCCCGUGCCUGCUUCCGAUACGGGCAGACUAGAGGUAUGCAGGGGAGAACGGAAUUCCUGGUGUAGCGGUGAAAUGCGCAGAUAUCAGGAGGAACACCGGUGGCGAAGGCGGUUCUCUGGGCAUGACCUGACGCUGAGGAGCGAAAGUGUGGGGAGCGAACAGG